rnacentral:rRNA from 1 species
UACGUAGGGUGCAAGCGUUAAUCGGAAUUACUGGGCGUAAAGCGUGCGCAGGCGGUUCGCUAAGACAGAUGUGAAAUCCCCGGGCUUAACCCUGGGAACUGCAUUUGUGACUGGCGGGCUAGAGUAUGGCAGAGGGGGGGUAGAAUUCCACGUGUAGCAGUGAAAUGCGUAGAGAUGUGGAGGAAUACCGAUGGCGAAGGCAGCCCCCUGGGCCAAUACUGACGCUCAUGCACGAAAGCGUGGGGAGCAAACAGG